rnacentral:rRNA from 1 species
UACGUAGGGUGCAAGCGUUGUCCGGAAUUAUUGGGCGUAAAGAGCUCGUAGGCGGUUUGUCGCGUCUGCUGUGAAAACUCGGGGCUUAACUCCGGGCCUGCAGUGGGUACGGGCAGACUAGAGUGCGGUAGGGGAGACUGGAAUUCCUGGUGUAGCGGUGAAUGCGCAGAUAUCAGGAGGAACACCGAUGGCGAAGGCAGAUCUCUGGGCCGUAACUGACGCUGAGGAGCGAAAGCGUGGGGAGCGAACAGG